rnacentral:rRNA from 1 species
ACAAUGGAGAGUUUGAUCCUGGCUCAGGAUGAACGCUAGCGGCAGGCUUAAUACAUGCAAGUCGAGGGGUAGCAUGAUUGUAGCAAUACAGUUGAUGACGACCGGCAAACGGGUGCGGAACACGUACACAACCUUCCUACAAGUGGGGAAUAGCCCAGAGAAAUUUGGAUUAAUACCCCGUAACAUAGCGAUGUGGCAUCACAUUGCUAUUAUAGCUUCGGCGCUUGUUGAUGGGUGUGCGGCUGAUUAGAUAGUUGGCGGGGUAACGGCCCACCAAGUCUACGAUCAGUAGCUGAUGUGAGGCAUGAUCAGCCACACGGGCACUGAGACACGGGCCCGACU